GUCCGAGUGGCGGAAUCGGAAGACGCACUGCGCUCAGACCGCAGAGCUUCGGCGUGGGAGUUCAAGUCUCCCCUCGGACACCA
rnacentral:tRNA from 1 species